GGAAGUCAGGUGCCAGUCAUAAGACUUGGCAGCAGUCCUGGGCGCCAUCUUGGGGCCUCGGCCACACCCGCUCCUCACAAAAGGCUGGUGAUAAAUAUGAAUGAUUGUGGUUUGGAUAUGCUUUUCCAGAAAGUGGCACCAUUUGGAGGUGUGGCCUUGUUGGAGGAAGUGUGUCACUAUGGGGAUGGGCUUUAAGACCCUCAUCCUAGCUACCUGCAAGCCAGUCUUUUCCUAACAGCCUUCAGAACAAGAGGUGGGACUCUCAGCUCCUCCUGCACCAUGUCUUCCUAAACACUGCCAUGAUCCUGCCUUGAUGAUAAUGGACUACACCUCUGAACCUAGAAGCCAUCUCCAAUUGAAUGUUGUCCUUAUAAGAGUUACCUUGGUCUUGGUGUCUGUUCACAGCAGUAAAACCCUAAGACAGCUACUUAUCGGUCCAUGAGCUCUGAGAGGAAGACUCGAUGAAGACAUCCCAUUUAGGACUGAGUGCUCCAAGAUUUCUUACUCUCUGCAAACUUUCCAGUCUCUGUGUUAAGUCCCAUCUACUAUAAGAAGCUUCUCUGAUGAUGGCUGAGCGAGGUCCUGAUCUACAGCUACAGCAGAAUGCCACUAGUAAUCCUUGUAUUCUUUUUACCAUUAGAGCUGUAGUAUUUGGUUUCCUCCUAGGGCUGUGGCCUACCUAGUGUUUCAUAGCCACCUCAUCAAUGUCAAUCAGUUCUGAGAUUCAUCUCAUUGAGUUGCUUUUAAAUCCAAUUCAAUAAAUGGUUGGUUGCGCCCACAUUUGUGCCAGUGUUGCCUCAG
rnacentral:lncRNA from 1 species